GGAGUUCUUAAAGUUUCAGAUUUUGGAUUAAGUGCACUACCUCAGCAAGUUCGAGAAGAUGGAUUACUUCACACAACAUGUGGAACGCCAAAUUAUGUUGCUCCUGAGGUUAUCAAUAAUAAAGGCUAUGAUGGAGCAAAGGCAGAUUUAUGGUCAUGUGGUGUGAUUCUUUAUGUCUUAAUGGCUGGUUACUUGCCUUUUGAAGAAUCCAACCUUAUGGCUCUCUAUAAAAAGAUAUUUAAGGCGGACUUCACAUGUCCUCCAUGGUUCUCCUCAAGUGCAAAGAAACUCAUCAAAAGAAUUCUGGAUCCUAAUCCUUUGACGCGUAUUACCUGAGCUUAUUGAAAAUGAGUGGUUUAAGAAAGGAUAUAAGCCACCUACUUUUGAACAAGCUGAAGUUAGUCUUGAUGAUGUGAACUCUAUCUUCAAUGAAUCAGGGGAUUGUCAAAACCUUGUUGUGGAGAGUCGAGGAGAAGCUCCAAUAGGGCCUGUGGCACCUAUAACAAUGAAUGCAUUUGAACUUAUUUCUACAUCUCAGGGCCUCAACCUCAGUAGUCUUUUUGAGAAGCAAAUGGGACUUGUGAAACGGGAAACCAGAUUUACAUCCAAACGUUCAGCUAAUGAGAUAAUCUCAAAAAUUGAAGAAACUGCAAUGCCUUUGGGUUUUGAAGUUAAGAAAAAUAACUUCAAGAUGAAGCUGCAAGGGGAGAAGACUGGACGUAAGGGUCAUUUAUCUAUUGCAACUGAGAUCUUUGAGGUGGCCCCUUCUCUUUAUAUGGUUGAACUUCGCAAAUCUGGUGGAGAUACCCUAGAAUUUCACAAGUUUUACAAGAACCUGUCAGCUGGACUAAAAGAUAUUGUUUGGAGAACCAUUGAUGAAGAAAAGGAAGAAGGAAAAGAGAAGAUAAAUGGUGCUGCUGUGGUACCGUCACUGACAUGAUAUGUGGGGUUCGUUUAGUGGUUGAAUUGUGUAAAUGGGUGGAAACUCCAAAUGCAAUAAUUUUUUAAGAUUGUUAUGUUGGAUUGUUAUGAAAAGUAUGAAGCAUCUAUUUUAAUUUUCCUUAGAAUGAACUUUUGUGGUUCAGAACUUGCUUAUGUAUACCUUGGCUUGGCUUGAUUUGGUUCAAACCUGUAAUGUAUUGUAAACUUUCCUC
rnacentral:misc_RNA from 1 species